rnacentral:misc_RNA from 1 species
UACGGAGGAUCCAAGCGUUAUCCGGAAUCAUUGGGUUUAAAGGGUCCGUAGGCGGGAUAUUAAGUCAGUGGUGAAAGUCCGCAGCUCAACCAUGGAAUUGCCAUUGAUACUGUUGUUCUUGAGUGUUUAUGAAGUGGUUAGAAUAUGUCAUGUAGCGGUGAAAUGCAUAGAUAUUACAUAGAAUACCGAUUGCGAAGGCAGAUCACUAAUACUAUAUUGACGCUGAUGGACGAAAGCGUAGGUAGCGAACAGG